AGGGCCGCCGGCCGUGUUCAGUGAGGGCGUGGGCCAGCCCGCGGCGACAGCGGCAUGAAAGUGACCAUGUGCUUCGGGAGGACCCGGGUGGUCGUGCCGUGAGGAGAUGGCCACAUGAAAGUUUUCAGCCUCAUCCAGCAGGCGGUGACCCGCUACUGGAAGGCCAUAGCCAAGGAUCCAAACUACUGGAUACAGGUGCAUCGCUUGGAACAUGGCGAUGGAGGAAUCCUGGACCUAGAUGACAUUCUCUGUGAUGUAGCAGAUGAUAAAGACAGACUGGUAGCAGUGUUCGAUGAGCAAGAUCCACAUCAUGGGGGUGAUGGCACCAGUGCCAGCUCCACAGGUACCCAGAGCCCAGAGAUACUCGGUAGUGAGCUUGGCACCACCAAUGUUUCCGCCUUUCAGCCUUAUCAAGCAACGAGUGCAAUUGAGGUCACACCUUCAGUCCUUCGUGCAAAUAUGCCUCUUCACGUCCGACGAAGCAGUGACCCAGCUUUAAUCAGCCUCUCCACUUCUGUCAGCAAUAAUAACUUUUCCUCUGAAGAGCCUUCAAGGAAAAACCCCACUCGCUGGUCAACAACUGCCGGCUUCCUUAAGCAGAAUCCCGCUGGGAGCCCAAAACCCUGCGACAGAAAGAAAGAUGAAAACUACAGAAGCCUCCCAUGGGAUACUAGUAACUGGUCUAACCAAUUUCAGAGAGACAAUGCUCGCUUGUCUCUGAGUGCCAGUCACCCAAUGGUGGACAAGUGGCUCGAGAAACAAGAACAGGAUGAGGACGGAACAGAAGAAGAUGACAGCCGUGUCGAACCAGUCGGACAUGCUGACACGGGUUUGGAGAACAUACCCAACUUUUCUCUGGAUGAUAUGGUAAAGCUCGUACAAGUCCCCAACGAUGGCGGGCCUCUGGGAAUCCAUGUAGUGCCUUUCAGUGCUUGAGGCGGCAGAACUCUGGGGUUAUUAGUAAAACGAUUGGAGAAAGGUGGUAAAGCUGAACAAGAAAACCUUUUUCAUGAGAGUGAUUGCAUUGUCAGGAUUAAUGAUGGCGACCUUCGGAAUAGAAGAUUUGAACAAGCACAACAUAUGUUUCGCCAAGCCAUGCGUACACCCAUCAUUUGGUUCCAUGUGGUUCCUGCAGCAAAGAAAGAGCAGUAUGAACAACUCUCCCAAAGUGAGAAGAACAGUUUACUAUUCAGGUUGCUUCAGCCCUGACAGCCAGUAUAUGGACAACAGGAGCAUGAAUAGCGUAGGGCUUCACACGGUGCAGAGAGCACCCAGACUGAACCACCCGCCCGAGCAGCUAGACUCUCACCCACGACUACCUCACAGUUUGCACCCCUCUGGAAAGCCGCCGUCAGCGCCAGCCCUAGCACCCCACAAUGUAUUUAGCACGAAUGUAAGCAGCAGUAAAAAAGUAAGCAACACCAAAAAAGUAGGCAAGAGGCUUAAUAUCCAGCUUAAGAAAGGUACAGAAGGUUUGGGAUUUAGCAUCACUUCCCAAGAUGUGACAAUAGGUGGCUCAGCUCCAAUUUAUGUGAAAAACAUCCUCCCACGGGGGGCUGCAAUUCAAGAUGGUAGACUCAAGGCAGGAGACAGACUUAUAGAGGUAAAUGGAGUAGAUUUAGCAGGCAAAUCCCAAGAGGAAGUUGUUUCGCUGUUGAGAAGCACCAAGAUGGAAGGAACUGUGAGCCUUCUGGUCUUUUGUCAGGAAGACGCCUUCCACCCAAGGGAACUGAAUGCAGAGCCAAGCCAGAUGCAGAUUCCAAAAGAAACGAAAGCAGAAGAUGAAGAUAUUGUUCUCACACCCAGUGGCAUUAGGGAAUUUCUGACGUUCGAAGUUCCACUUAAUGAUUCAGGAUCUGCCGGUCUUGAUGUCAGUGUCAGGUCCAAAGAGAACCAUGCAGAUUUGGGAAUCUUUGUCAAGUCCAUUAUCAAUGGAGGAGCAGCAUCCAAGGAUGGAAGGCUUCGUGUGAAUGAUCAGCUGAUAGCAGUAAAUGGAGAAUCCCUGUUGGGCAAGACUAACCAGGACACCAUGGAAACCCUGAGAUGGUCCAUGUCCACCUAGGGCAACAAACGAGGAAUGAUCCAGCUCAUUGUUGCAAGAAGAAUAAGCAAAUGCCAUGAGCUAAAUUCACCUGGGAGCCCCCCUGGACCUGAGCUGCCCAUCGAAACAGUGUUGGAUGACAGAGAACGGAGAAUCUCCCAUUCCCUCUACAGUGGGAUUGAGGGGCUUGAUGAGUCGCCCACGAGAAAUGCUGCCCUCAGUAGGAUAAUGGGUAAAUACCAGCUGUCCCCCACAGUGAACGUGCCCCAGGACGAUACUGUUAUCAUAGAAGAUGACAGGUUGCCAGUGCUUCCUCCACACCUCUCUGACCAGUCCUCUUCAGCUCCCACGACAAUGUGGGGUUCGUGACGACAGACGCUGCUGGCAUGUGGGCCAAGGCUGCAAUCACUGACUCAGCUGACUGCUCUUUGAGUCCAGACGUUGAUCCAGUUCUUGCUUUUCAAGGAGAAGGAUUUGGACGCCAGAGUAUGUCAGAAAAACGCACAAAGCAAUUUUCAGAUGCCAGUCAAUUGGAUUUCGUUAAAACACGAAAAUCAAAAAGCAUGGAUUUAGGUAUAGCUAACGAGACUAAACUCAAUACAGUGGAUGACCAGAAAGCAGGUUCCCCCAGUAGAGAUGUGGAACCUUCCCUGGGUCUGAAGAAGUCAAGUUCAUUAGAGAAUCUGCAGACAGCCGUUGCCGAGGUGACUCUGAAUGGGGAUAUUCCUUUCCAUCGCCCACGGCCACGGAUCAUCAGAGGAAGGGGAUGCAAUGAGAGCUUCAGAGCUGCCAUUGACAAGUCUUAUGACAAACCUGCAGUAGAUGAUGACGAUGAAGGCAUGGAGACCUUGGAAGAAGAUACUGAAGAAAGUUCAAGAUCAGGGAGAGAGUCAGUGUCCACAGCCAGCGAUCAGCCCUCCCAGUCUCUGGAGAGACACAUGAACGGAAACCAAGAGAAAGGUGACAGGACUGAUAGGAAAAAGGGCAAAACUGGAAAAGAGAGGAAGAAAGAGAGAGAUAAGGAGAAGGAUAAAAUGAAAGCCAAGAAAGGAAUGCUCAAGGGCUUGGGCGACAUGUUCAGCCUUGCCAAACUGAAGCCCGAGAAGAGAUGAACAACAAACCCGAUUCAAAAAUGUCUUGAACAGCACAUAUUGCACAGUUUUUUUUUUUAAACAAACAAUAAAUUUACUUUUAAUGAAAAAAAAAAAAAAAGAACUUGGUCUUCAAAAGGCUUGUUUAUAAUGGCAGUCAAUAUUUGUUUCUGUGAGGGCAUACCCCAGAAAUAAUUGUUUAAUUCGUGUUACAUUUCUUUGCUUCCUGUAUUAGUGAUUCUUUUUGUUGGCAUCUGUUAGCAUCAGAAUAGCAUUGGUUGUAGCCAUUCAUAAGAUUACAUCUCUUUCAUAAGCAGUGUGUGAGUAUUCUAAAUAAAGAGAAAAUACCUCAACUUACUAUAUUCAGUAUUCAUGGCUUUUUGAGAAUCAGGGCCAGAAACCUUUCCUUUCUCUGAAUCUAUGGUUGUUGGUAGUCUUAUGCCACCUGAACCUUGGCCAUAUGCAUGUUAAGCUCGGUGAUUAUAUUUCUAACAAUGGGAAAAGUAUAAAUGAAUUCUUGGAAA